UUGAGCUCUCUCUCUCCUGAGCUCCUGCUCUUAGUACUGAGGUACAGUUUGGAGAGGAGUGAAGUCUGUCUGUGAGGUGAAUCUGAAAGGAGGCCUAAUCCGGCAACCACGCAUCUACUACAAGUCAGCCCCACUACCGAGGUGAAAGUCAAAGCAUUGCAGUUCACAGAAGAAUCCUUAUCCCUGAGCUGGUAGAUAUCUCUGCCCGUCACCAGAUAUGAAGACGUCUGUGGUUUUCUUGGUUGUCCUCGCUGCCGGCCUCUUCCUGCUGUCAGAAUCUGCUCAAGUUUAUAGAUGUGAUUUACUACGGAAUAAUGGAAAAGGAAAUAAAUCUCUUAGAUACUAUUACUAUGAUAAAGCAACAAACUCCUGUAAGACAUUCACAUACCGCGGCUCCGGGGGAAAUGGCAACAGAUUCAAAACCAUUGCGACAUGUCAGGAGACCUGCGUGACAGAAUAAGGUUCUGGGAUUUCCACAUGACAAAUCUUCUUGUCGCAAAAGACAUGAUAUAGAAAACGCCUAUUGAAGGAUUUUAUGUGUUAUGUGGAACAUAUAUAAUAAAUACCUUAAUGCAAAUGUG